rnacentral:rRNA from 1 species
UAGUCCACGCCCUAAACGAUGCUCACUCGGUAUUGGCGAUAUAAUGUCAGUGCCUAAGGGAAACCAUUAAGUGAGCCACCUGGGGAGUACGUUCGCAAGAAUGAAACUCAAAGGAAUUGACGGGGGCCCGCACAAGCGGUGGAGCAUGUGGUUUAAUUCGAUGAUACGCGAGGAACCUUACCAGGGCUUAAAUGCAGUAUGACAGAUUUGGAAACAGAUUUUUCUUCGGACAUAUUGCAAGGUGCUGCAUGGUUGUCGUCAGCUCGUGCCGUGAGGUGUCAGGUUAAGUCCUAUAACGAGCGCAACCCCUAUUGCUAGUUGCCAGCGGAUAAUGCCGGGGACUCUAGUGAGACUGCCGGUGCAAACCGUGAGGAAGGUGGGGAUGACGUCAAAUCAUCACGGCCCUUACGUCCUGGGCCACACACGUGCUACAAUGGUAGGGACAGAGAGCAGCCACUUCGCGAGAAGGAGCGAAUCUAUAACCCUAUCACAGUUCGGA